rnacentral:rRNA from 1 species
AGUGAACGCUGGCGGUAUGCUUAACACAUGCAAGUCGAACGGCAGCACAGUAAGAGCUUGCUCUUACCGGUGGCGAGUGGCGGACGGGUGAGGAAUACAUCGGAAUCUACUUUUUCGUGUGGGAUAACGUAGGGAAACUUACUCUCAUACCGCAUACGACCUACGGGUGAAAGCAGGGGAUCUUCUGACCUUUGGCGAUUGAAUGAGCCGAUGUCGGAUUAGCUAGGUGGAGGGGGAAAGGCCCACCAAGGCGAGGAUCCGUAGCUGGUCUGAGAGGAGGAUAGGCGGCACUGGAAGUGAGACACCGACAUGACUCCUACGGGAGGCACCAGUGGGCAAUAUUGGGCAGUAGGCGCGAGUAUGGUCCAGCCAUACCGCGUGGGUGGAGAAGGCCUUCGGGUUGUGAAGCCGUUUUGUUGGGAAAGAACAGCAGCAGGUUAAUACCAAGCUGUUCUGACGGUACCCAAAGAAUAAGCACCGGCUAACUUCGUG